AGAAUUUACUUUCCCUCCUAAACCAAAAACAAGAAAGGAAACACGAGCAAUAAUUAAUUCAUCACCUUCCUUACUAACAUGUCAAGUACACUUAGAAACACAACUCAAUUCAUACCAUUUUAGAAUCAAAAUCCUAACCGCAACCCUAGCUCAAUUUCCCCAAUUUCACGAUAUUGACUCGCGUUCUGCGUUCCUCUCUCUCGCCAUCGUGGUGUUCUUCACUGCUCUGCUCACGUCGUGUUAUGCUUGCAUCGCAUUCUGCUCUGCUCGUGUCAUGUGCUUCUUCUCGCAUCGUGUUCUGCUCUGCUCCGCCAUGUUCGAUUUUCAGCUCGUGUCAUUCUGAAACACUCACUUUGCUCCGCCGUGGUGUUGUUCACAUCUUUCUCUCAAAUUUCUCAGAUCUAUAAUUUAGACAGCACAGGCUUUGCAAUUCUCUUGCAGUUUCAUUUAAGCUCUAUGAUUUGGACAGCACAGGCUUUAUAGAAUGCCAAGAGAUUGUUGAUAUUAGCAAAACCCUAUCGUUGUUCAUAGAGCUUCAAACCUUAGGUGACAGCUUCUGUGAUUUAGUUUAAUGGAAGUUCCAAUUUACAGGAAUACCAAUGAUUUAGAAUUGGAAAUGAUGGGACUUACAAGGAGUAGGCCUCUUCAUAAUUUUUUAAAUUUAUUAGGAAUAUGCCCCAUUACUUAAUUGCUGCUAGUGGCUUUACUAAAUUAUAUUAUUUAAGUAAAAUCACCAAAAUUAAUUAAUUCAUUCAUUAAUUAUAAGAUAAUUUUGAUGAUAAUUGUGAUAGGUGCUAUUAGAUUGAUUCUUUGGACACUUUGGCUAUACUCGGUGACCAUGACCGCUUUGCCGCUUCCGUUGAAUGGAUUGGUAAAAAUAUUCGCUUUGAUAUUAACAAAACUGUUUCUUUGUUUGAGACGACAAUCAGAGUUCUUGGAGGAUUGCUUUCGGCUCAUCUUAUAGCCAAUGAUUACGCUACGGGAUGUGAUGAUUGGUGCCGUUCCAAGCUAUGAGGAGCCGUAUAUUCAAGUUCCAAGGGUCUUAAGUAUGGACUAAAAACUUUGUAAAGAUUUAGCAUAUGGGACAAGUCAAGCAUGGAUAUAAAAUAUGUAAGUAGAUUGACAUCUUUUUUACAAAUAUUAAUUACUAUUUUGUUAUGUAUUGUUAGAUAAGAAUUUUAUUAUUUUGUCGAGAAUUAUUGAUGAACACGUAUUUGAAAUACUAAUUGAACCUUUUAAUAUCUAUUUUAAUUUUUACUUUAUUAUUA